UCGGCAGAGCGCGAUUUGAAAGGCUCCCAGCAGACGAUAAAACGAAGUCGCUCUCUUAGUGGACCUCGGUCAAAUGAUUCGGUCGUAACAAACGGAAAAGCAAAAGCGGCUUUGUCUGAAAUUCCAAAACCUAAAAGACGGAGUGAGUCACCCCGAUUGACUCGACAGUCCAGAUUCGAGACCCCUGAGGUUCAAGCUAGGAGUCUGAAGGAAACAAAAGAAGGACAGCGUACAUUUAGGGUUAUUCGCAAACAAAGGACCGGGAUGGAUGAAGGAGAAGCACCACAGGUGGAUGUUGUCGUUUCUGAAACAGCAAUGAACCGACGCUUACCUGAGGAUAAUACGAAGAGAAAGACUGACU